rnacentral:Y_RNA from 1 species
GGUUUGUCCAAAAGUACUGGGUUAUCAACUUGCAUUCUCUAUCUCCCCUUUCCUCCACUACUGCCUUUGACUGAUUUUAU